GAUGAACGCUGGCGGCGUGCCUAAUACAUGCAAGUCGAGCGAACAGACGAGGAGCUUGCUCCUCUGACGUUAGCGGCGGACGGGUGAGUAACACGUGGAUAACCUACCUAUAAGACUGGGAUAACUUCGGGAAACCGGAGCUAAUACCGGAUAAUAUAUUGAACCGCAUGGUUCAAUAGUGAAAGACGGGUUUGCUGUCACUUAUAGAUGGAUCCGCGCCGCAUUAGCUAGUUGGUAAGGUAACGGCGUACCAAGGCAACGAUGCGUAGCCGACCUGAGAGGGUGAUCGGCCACACUGGAACUGAGACACGGUCCAGACUCCUACGGGAGGCAGCAGUAGGGAAUCUUCCGCAAUGGGCGAAAGCCUGACGGAGCAACGCCGCGUGAGUGAUGAAGGUCUUCGGAUCGUAAAACUCUGUUAUUAGGGAAGAACAAAUGUGUAAGUAACUAUGCACGUCUUGACGGUACCUAAUCAGAAAGCCACGGCUAACUACGUG
rnacentral:rRNA from 1 species